rnacentral:rRNA from 1 species
UACAGAGGGUGCGAGCGUUAAUCGGAAUUACUGGGCGUAAAGGGCGCGUAGGCGGUGAUACAUGUGUGAUGUGAAAGCCCCGGGCUUAACCUGGGAAGUGCAUCGCAAACUGUGUUACUGGAGUAUAUGAGAGGGUGGCGGAAUUUCCGGUGUAGCGGUGAAAUGCGUAGAGAUCGGAAGGAACGUCGAUGGCGAAGGCAGCCACCUGGCAUAAUACUGACGCUGAGGCGCGAAAGCGUGGGGAGCGAACAGG